GAUGAACGCUGGCGGCGUGCCUAAUACAUGCAAGUCGAACGAGAUGUAGCAAUACAUCUAGUGACGAACGGGUGAGUAACACGUAUUCAAUCUGCCCUAACGACUGGGAUACCCUCGGGAAACCUUGGCUAAUACCGGAUAGGAACUUCUUUCGCAUGAAGGGAGUUUUAAAGGAUCAAAUGAUUCACGAUAGGAUGAGAAUGCGGCGCAUUAGUUAGUUGGUGAGAUAAAGACCCACCAAGACGAGGAUGCGUAGCCGACCUGAGAGGGUGAUCGGCCACAAUGGAACUGAGACACGGUCCAU
rnacentral:rRNA from 1 species